ensembl:ncRNA asRNA:CR44370 antisense RNA:CR44370
CAUUCCUUUUCUGUUCUUUGAGCUGUGAACACACAUAAAAACGAUUUUCACUGGUGUAUCUUUAGACAAAUUUUUUUUAUCAAAACUUCUCAUAAAACUAAAAUUCAUACAAAAUUUUAAAAUCCAUUUAAACAAAUAUUUUCAAAAAACAGGCGUACAGGCGUGUAUAUUGAAGGAGUCGGCGAAUAAAGUUGUUCUUGGCAUCUCCUCGGGUUCAUUGACCUUCGAUGUGUUCGAGAUUUCCCGUCCGCAAUGUUGGGGGAUAAUUAAGGUCCAAUGAAAGUGUGCAACAAAGUCUACCCAAACGAUUAGGAAUCGAUGUGAUGAAUCCCAAUAUUGAGAGAAGAAAUCGGAGGAUCAUCAAAGUCCAAUGAAAUGUGCAACAAAAAGGUGAAGUUAUUAAAUUGAAUUUUAAACUAAAAGUCCUCCCCAACGAUUAGGAGUCGAUGUGAUGAAUCCCAAUAUUGAGACAAGGUGCAAUGAAAUAUGCAACAAAUAGGUGAAGUUAUGAAAGUGUUUAAAGUAAAAUAUUCCACCCAAGCAAUUAGAAAUCGUAGGAUCAUCGAAGUCCAAUGCAAUGUGCAACAAAUAGGUGAAGUUAUAAAAUUGAUUAUUAAACUAAGUCCUCCCCAAUGAUUAGGAAUCGAUGUGAUGAAUCCCAAUAUUGAAGAGGAUCAUCAAGGUGCAAUGAAAUAUGCCACAAAUAGGUGAAGUUAUGAAAGUGUUUAAACUAAAAUAUUCCACCCAAGCGAUUAGAAAUCGUAGGAUCAUCAAAGUCCAAUGAAAUGUGCAACAAAUAGGUGAAUGUAUAAAAUUGAUUAUUAAACUAAAAGUCCUCCCCAAUGAUUAGGAAUCGAUGUGAUGAAUCCCAAUAUUGAGACAAGGUGCAAUGAAAUAUGCAACAAAUAGGUGAAGUUAUGAAAGUGUUUAAACUAAAAUAUUCCACCCAAGCGAUUAGAAAUCGUAGGAUCAUCGAAGUCCAAUAAAAUGUGCAACAAAAAGGUGAAGUUAUAAAAUUGAUUAUUAAACUAAGUCCUCCCCAAUGAUUAGGAAUCGAUGUGAUGAACCCCAAUAUUGAAGAGGAUCAUCAAGGUGCAAUGAAAUAUGCAACAAAUAGGUGAAGUUAUAAAAGUGUUUAAACUAAAAUAUUCCACCCAAGCGAUUAGAAAUCGGAGGAUCAUCAAAGUCCAAUGAAAUGUGCAACAAAAAGGUGAAGUUAUUAAAUUAAAUUUUAAACUAAAAGUCCUCCCCAACGAUUAGGAAUCGAUGUGAUGAAUCCCAAUAUUGAGACAAGGUGCAAUGAAAUAUGCAACAAAUAGGUGAAGUUAUAAAAGUGUUUAAACUAAAAUAUUCCACCCAAGCGAUUAGAAAUCGUAGGAUCAUCGAAGUCCAAUGCAAUGUGCAACAAAUAGGUGAAGUUAUAAAAUUGAUUAUUAAGCUAAAAGUCCUCCCCAAUGAUUAGGAAUCGUUGUGAUGAAUCUAGUGUCCUUGCUUUAGCCGAAGUAGUUUGCUGUGAAAUGUGUGCGAAUUUAAAGGUACCGCAGUAAAAGGAUAAUUCAAGUAGGAAAUGGAGAGCAGCAACCCCAACACCUUAUUAUGAAAAUUGAGGACGACUAAGGCAACAUUAUUGAUAAAUAAUAAUGCCUAUCAAAAUGACCGGAGGGAGCGAAUUUUUGUCAACGGCAGCUGGUGCCGCUGGAUUGACAGCUUUUGUUUUCAUAUUAACUACAAGCUGUAAUUUGCGGCAAAAAACACAGCAAUUAACAGGCAAUUGCAGCACGGCAGCCCUCUUUUGUCUUCGGCCCCCAUGGCACACUAAACUAGUUCAGUCCGUCCGUCUCCGCCAACGUCGCUCCUAUCCGGUGUGGUCUGAGGUUCUCGCAUUCGUCUCCGGAUUUGGUGCGACUGCGGAACGCCCACCACCACGCCUUCCAGCACCAUUGAUUGCCACACUGGAGAAAAACUCUGGUCGAUGUGACGGUAUUUUAACGAAAUAUUUCGCUUCUGUGAGGACCCAUUUAAUUGUAUCCUUUUCCUGGUCUUCAUUCAAAUUUAAAUCUGAUUUCUAGAGAAGUAUAGUUUGUUCGUGGAUUUUGGUAUAAAAUAGAAUCGUUUCAAUCAAUUAAAUAUAUGCAAUUCCACUAAUCUUCGCUUUUUCUAGCUUUCAACUUAAGAAAACCAAAAUUUAAGUGCAUGUACCAGAAUAAUUUUGAAAAAUGUUGUACGAAACCCACAAAUAUCUGGUCGAUGUGACGGUAUUUUAACAAAAUUCUUUAAUAGUGAGCACGCAAAUUUCUGAUUGAAGUAGUACCACCUGAAGGAAUUUAUUUUUCUUAUCUUUUUGUGAUUUUAAUAUUUUUAUAGUUUAAUUGUUUCCCUUUCGGGCAGAUUGCUGAUCUCUUCGUCUUGAUUUAUAAGCGAAUUGUGGUCAUUCAAAUUUAAAUCUGAAAUUUGGUUUCUCGUGGAUUUUGGUAUAAAAUAGAAUCGUUUCAAUCAAUUUAAUAUAUGCAAUUCCACAAAUCUUCGCUUUUUCUAGCUUUCAACUUAAGAAAACCAAAAUUUAAGUGCAUGUACCAGAAUAAUUUUGAAAAAUGUUGUACGAAACCCACAAAUAUCUGGUCGAUGUGACGGUAUUUUAACAAAAUUCUUUAAUAGUGAGCACGCAAAUUUCUGAUUGAAGUAGUACCACCUGAAGGAAUUUAUUUUUCUUAAUAUCUUUUUGUGAUUUUAAUAUUUUUAUAGUUUAAUUGUUUUCCUUUCGGGCAGAUUGCUGAUCUCUUCGUCUUGAUUUAUAAGCGAAUUGUGUUCAUUCAAGUUUCUAGAGAAAUUUAGUUUCUCGUGGAUUUUGGUAUAAAAUAGAAUCGUUUCAAUACAUUUAAUAUAAAUACAAUUCCACUAAUCCUCGCUUCUUUAGCCUUCAAAUUGAGAAACUUAAAAUUUAAAUGCAUGUACCAGAAUAUUUUUGAAAAAUGUUGUACGAAAGGCACAAAUAUCUGAUCAUAAUGAUUACUUGCAAAUGGAUGAAUUACACUAUUUACUAUUAAUUUCCUUGUUGAAGUAGGGUACAAAUUAUGAUAAUUUAAUGACGAAUGAUUCUAUGCAGAUCUUUUAUUGAUAAAUUUUUAGAUUUUAUUAGUUUCAUUUUAUUACUCACGCGGUUUUUAAAAAUGGAAAAUCGAUGUACAUAUUUUUCGUUUGGGCAGUCGGAUGAUAGUGAUGUUGGAAACACAUUUAAUAACAAUUUUUCACAUAGAUAUCACUAUUAAUAUCAAAUGAUUUAGCUUAUAUUUAUGAACGCGGACUGGAUAAAUGGUGAUGUGCAUUUACUGUCGUGGGCCGACUUGAAGCAUUAUAAUUAAUUGGAAAUCGGAGUCGAUCAAUCGGAUGGCAACCGCAAAAUUAAUAAGCAUGAAUGAUGCCGACGACGCGAGUGUUCGCAGUAAUUGUGGAUGCGCCUGCACCCGUACUCGAGCUCAUAGUCAAAGUGGAGCAGACCAGACCAGAUCAGACCAAGCCAACCCAACCCAGGCCAGAGCUGACGGGCUAAUCAAAUUGCUGGCAAUCAUGGAGCCGUAUAAGCAAAUGUAGCAAUUUCAGUCAAACACCGAGAGAGCCGGCAACUUGAUAUGGCCAAGCUGCAGACGGCAACAACCACUUGUGGCUGCGACGCGAUUUGAUUCGAUUCGAUUCCAUUCCAUUCCAUUCGAUUCGCCUUAACUGAACUCGACUUGGGCUGGCUGUGGAAACCUCAGUCGAGUCAAUCAAAUGCAAAAUUGCGGUUCUUUGUUGAUUGUUGUUAAAAUCGCACUGCCGCUACCCAGCAGCAGCAGCAGCAACAGUAGCGGCAGUGGCAACAUUUUGCAUUUACCAACUGCAACUAGGCUUUCCAUACCAAUUAGUUUGAUUGAUUCCCGCAGACUGCAGCCAAAAUACAUACCUCGACAGGGACCCGGAUAUGCCACGGCGAUGGAACGUCCAAUUUUGCAAAUCAUUCGAUUUAUAUCACAGGCGCUCCUGUACGUCUUCCCAUCCACACCGCACACCGCCUGUCGCUCGUCGUAGCCACUGGAGUCCACAUCCAGGUUGUCCCAGGGACACUCGAUCCGGCAGGCGAUACAGUGGGGCAUCAGAUACUGAUCCUCCACGCAGGUCAAUCCGUUCAAGCAAUGGACUCCGCUGCAGCUGUCUGGGGGAUAGGAUGAAGAAAGAAAGAAAGAAAGAAAAAUGUAUUUGUUAUACUAAUAUGUAUUGUUAAAAUUAAUAUUUGUUAAAUAAAGUAUGUAAUAUAAACU